GGCCUGCCUCAAAGGCGGGCGGCCGCGGCUGAGGGCAUCGUGGGCCGUGGGGUUUCUCCCACUGGUCCGCGGGGCUGGUCCGGACCGGGACUCAGGGCCGCGGGCGGCGCUGUCUCAUCACCGCUGAGGCGCGAAGAACGGUCGCCCCGAGCACCGCACGGUAGUGGACAAGCGCGCGGAGGCACGAAUGUCACCAUGAUCAGUGGGGACACAAGGGCGCCAGACAGAUACGCGGGCACCCUGAGCAGGCAUGGAAGUGGAGACAUGCUAGUUAGGAGCAGGGAGAGAUGGGAAGAUGAAGACCAGCAAUCAAUCAAUCAAUCAAUCCAGCAAGAUGAUUCAGCAGAGUCCUGGCACAGCCCUGUCGCACCUCUCAGGGGAGCUGAGGGAAAGGGGUUAAGAAACCUCACUUGCGGGGUGCCUGAGUGGCUCAGUUGUUAAGCGUCAUCUGCCUUCGGCUCAGGUCAUGAUCCCAGGGUCCUGGGAUC